AGAGUUUGAUCAUGGCUCAGAUUGAACGCUGGCGGCAGGCCUAACACAUGCAAGUCGAACGGUAACAGGAAACAGCUUGCUGUUUCGCUGACGAGUGGCGGACGGGUGAGUAAUGUCUGGGAAACUGCCUGAUGGAGGGGGAUAACUACUGGAAACGGUAGCUAAUACCGCAUAACGUCGCAAGACCAAAGAGGGGGACCCUCGGGCCUCUUGCCAUCGGAUGUGCCCAGAUGGGAUUAGCUUGUUGGUGGGGUAACGGCUCACCAAGGCGACGAUCCCUAGCUGGUCUGAGAGGAUGACCAGCCACACUGGAACUGAGACACGGUCCAGACUCCUACGGGAGGCAGCAGUGGGGAAUAUUGCACAAUGGGCGCAAGCCUGAUGCAGCCAUGCCGCGUGUAUGAAGAAGGCCUUCGGGUUGUAAAGUACUUUCAGCGGGGAGGAAGGGAGUAAAGUUAAUACCUUUGCUCAUUGACGUUACCCGCAGAAGAAGCACCGGCUAACUCCGUGCCAGCAGCCGCGGUAAUACGGAGGGUGCAAGCGUUAAUCGGAAUUACUGGGCGUAAAGCGCACGCAGGCGGUUUGUUAAGUCAGAUGUGAAAUCCCCGGGCUCAACCUGGGAACUGCAUCUGAUACUGGCAAGCUUGAGUCUCGUAGAGGGGGGUAGAAUUCCAGGUGUAGCGGAGAAAUGCGUAGAGAUCUGGAGGAAUACCGGUGGCGAAGGCGGCCCCCUGGACGAAGACUGACGCUCAGGUGCGAAAGCGUGGGGAGCAAACAGGAUUAGAUACCCUGGUAGUCCACGCCGUAAACGAUGUCGACUUGGAGGUUGUGCCCUUGAGGCGUGGCUUCCGGAGCUAACGCGUUAAGUCGACCGCCUGGGGAGUACGGCCGCAAGGUUAAAACUCAAAUGAAUUGACGGGGGCCCGCACAAGCGGUGGAGCAUGUGGUUUAAUUCGAUGCAACGCGAAGAACCUUACCUGGUCUUGACAUCCACGGAAGUUUUCAGAGAUGAGAAUGUGCCUUCGGGAACCGUGAGACAGGUGCUGCAUGGCUGUCGUCAGCUCGUGUUGUGAAAUGUUGGGUUUAGUCCCGCAACGAGCGCAACCCUUAUCCUUUGUUGCCAGCGGUCCGGCCGGGAACUCAAAGGAGACUGCCAGUGAUAAACUGGAGGAAGGUGGGGAUGACGCCAAGUCAUCAUGGCCCUUACGACCAGGGCUACACACGUGCUACAAUGGCGCAUACAAAGAGAAGCGACCUCGCGAGAGCAAGCGGACCUCAUAAAGUGCGUCGUAGUCCGGAUUGGAGUCUGCAACUCGACUCCAUGAAGUCGGAAUCGCUAGUAAUCGUGGAUCAGAAUGCCACGGUGAAUACGUUCCCGGCCCUGUACACACCGCCCGUCACACCAUGGGAGUGGGUUGCAAAAGAAGUAGGUAGCUUAACCUUCGGGAGGGCGCUUACCACUUUGUGAUUCAUGACUGGGGUGAAGUCGGAACAAGGUAACCGUAGGGGAACCUGCGGUUG
rnacentral:rRNA from 1 species